rnacentral:rRNA from 1 species
GACGAACGCUGGCGGCGUGCUUAACACAUGCAAGUCGAACGGAAAGGCCCUGCUUUUGUGGGGUGCUCGAGUGGCGAACGGGUGAGUAACACGUGAGUAACCUGCCCUUGACUUUGGGAUAACUUCAGGAGACUGGGGCUAAUACCGGAUAGAAGCUCCUGCUGCAUGGUGGGGGUUGGAAAGUUUCGGCGGUUGGGGAUGGACUCGCGGCUUAUCAGCUUGUUGGUGGGGUAGUGGCUUACCAAGGCUUUGACGGGUAGCCGGCCUGAGAGGGUGACCGGCCACAUUGGGACUGAGAUACGCACCAGACUGCUACGGGAGGCAGCAGGGGGGAAUAUUGCACAAUGGGCGGAAGCCUGAGGCAGCAACGCCGCGUGCGGGAUGACGGCCUUCGGGUUGUAAACCGCUUUCGCCUGUGACGAAGCGUGAGUGACGGUAAUGGGUAAAGAAGCACCGGCUAACUACGUG